rnacentral:rRNA from 1 species
AGUGAACGCUGGCGGCGUGCCUAAUACAUGCAAGUCGAACGGAGAUUAAGUAGCUUGCUAUUUAAUCUUAGUGGCGCACGGGUGAGUAAUAUAUAGCUAAUCUGCCCUACACUAGAGGACAACAGUUGGAAACGACUGCUAAUACUCUAUACUCCCUCUUUACAUAAGUUAAGUCGGGAAAGUUUUUCGGUGCAGGAUGAGGCUAUAUCGUAUCAGCUAGUUGGUGAGGUAAUGCCUCACCAAGGCUAUGACGCGUAACUGGUCUGAGAGGAUGAUCAGUCACAUUGGAACUGAGACACGGUCCAAACUCCUACGGGAGGCAGCAGUAGGGAAUAUUGCUCAAUGGGGGAAACCCUGAAGCAGCAACGCCGCGUGGAGGAUGACACUUUUCGGAGCGUAAACUCCUUUUCUUGGGAAAGAAUUAUGACGGUACCCAAGGAAUAAGCACCGGCUAACUCCGUGCCAGCAGCCGCGGUAAUACGGAGGGUGCAAGCGUUACUCGGAAUCACUGGGCGUAAAGGACGCGUAGGCGGAUUAUCAAGUCUCUUGUGAAAUCUAACGGCUUAACCGUUAAACUGCUUGGGAAACUGAUAAUCUAGAGUAAGGGAGAGGCAGAUGGAAUUCUUGGUGUAGGGGUAAAAUCCGUAGAGAUCAAGAAGAAUACCCAUUGCGAAAGCGAUCUGCUGGAACUUAACUGACGCUAAUGCGUGAAAGCGUGGGGAGCAAACAGGAUUAGAUACCCUGGUAGUCCACGCCCUAAACGAUGUAUACUAGUUGUUGCUUCGCUAGUCGAGGCAGUAAUGCACCUAACGGAUUAAGUAUACCGCCUGGGGAGUACGGUCGCAAGAUUAAAACUCAAAGGAAUAGACGGGGACCCGCACAAGCGGUGGAGCAUGUGGUUUAAUUCGAAGAUACGCGAAGAACCUUACCCGGACUUGAUAUCUAACAAAUCAUCCAGAGAUGGAAGAGUGUCUGCUUGCAGAAAUGUUAAGACAAGUGCUGCACGGCUGUCGUCAGCUCGUGUCGUGAGAUGUUGGGGUUAAGUCCCGCAACGAGCGCCACCCACGU